rfam:Picoides pubescens contig26582, whole genome shotgun sequence.
CUGCUGUGAUGACAUUCUUAGGACACCUUUGGAUUGAACUGUGAAAAGAAAGCAUAAUUUCUGAGCAGC